GAGGAUUAGCUCAGCUGGGAGAGCAUCUGCCUUACAAGCAGAGGGUCGGCGGUUCGAUCCCGUCAUCCUCCACCA
rnacentral:tRNA from 6 species